rnacentral:misc_RNA from 1 species
GAAGAAACGUGCAAUGGGCUGCCGUACCAUUAAAUAUUUGGUGCAUAUCAUUUCUCACGAGGGGGUCGUAAUGGAUCCUAAAAAGAUUUUUGUUGUACUUCAAUGGCCUAUUCCUAAAUCAGUUCGAGGUGUUCAAGGUUUUCUUGGUCUUACAGGCUAUUACCGAAGGUUUGUAGUAGGGUAUGGAAGAGUAGCCAAGCCACUUACUUACUUAAGAAAAAUGCUUUUCAAUGGAAUAAAAUGGCUCAGGAAGCAUUUCCUCAGUUGAAGUAUUUGA